UACGUAGGGUGCGAGCGUUAAUCGGAAUUACUGGGCGUAAAGCGUGCGUAGGCGGUUGGCAAAGUCAGCUGUGAAAGCCCCGGGCUUAACCUGGGAAUGGCGGUUGAAACUAGUCGACUAGAAUCUGGCAGAGGGGGGUGGAAUUCCACGUGUAGCGGUGAAAUGCGUAGAUAUCAAGAGGAACACCUGAGGUGAAGACGGGUUGCUGGGCCAACACUGACGCUGAUGCGCGAAAGCCAGGGGAGCAAACGGG
rnacentral:rRNA from 1 species